rnacentral:lncRNA from 1 species
CAUAAUCUAAUGGCAAGAAUCGUUCCCUCAGCAUCCUUUUCAUCCGACCCCAUAAUGUCAUUGUUGUUUUUCUUUGUCUCCUCCGAGUGGUCUGCACGUUAUCCCAUUAUAUACCGACAACCCCCUUGAGCUUGUAAGCCACCAAUUUCACUUGUUUAUCCUUUUGGGUUAACACAAAAUCAAAGAAUUUCUCUACUUCGUAUAGCCAGUCCAAAAACGAAUCAAUAUCAAAAGUCC